UCUCAGAAUGAGGCUCCUUGCUGAGCUCCUGGGGCUGCUGACACUCUGUGUCCCUGGAUCUGUGGGGAACGCUGUGCUGACCCAGAGUCCAGGCUCCCUGUCCGUCACCCCUGGAGAGUCGGUCUCCAUCUCCUGCAGGUCCAGUAAGAGCCUCCUCCAGACUGACAGGUUCACCUAUUUGAGUUGGUUCCUGCAGAAACCAGGCCGGCCUCCCAAGCGGCUGAUGUACGUAGUCUCUCGACGGGAUCCUGGGAGCCCAGACAGGUUCAGCGGCAGUGGCUCAGAGACGGAUUUCACUCUGCAGAUCAGCAGUGUGGCUGUGGGGGACGCUGGCAUUUACUACUGCCAGCAGCUCACACACUUUCCUCCCACAAUGCUACAAUGGCCCUCUUCUGGACUGCAGUCCACUUCCUUUGGCAACAAGCUGCUGGAGUUGGUGGUCGCCCUGGUGCUGGUAACCCUGCAGCUCGCCUAG